UACGUAGGAGGCGAGCGUUGUCCGGAGUUACUGGGCGUAAAGGGUGCGCAGGCGGCCCCUUAAGGUGGCGGUGAAAGCUCCUGGCUCAACUGGGAGAGGGCCGUGACGACUGGGGGGCUUGAGGCUCGGAGAGGGACGUGGAAUUCCGGGUGGAGCGGUGAAAUGCAUAGAGAUCCGGAAGAACACCGGUGGCGAAGGCGGCCUGCUGGGCAGUAGCCGAAAGGCUUGAAAGCUGACGCUGAGGCGCGACAGCGUGGGGAGCAAACAGG
rnacentral:rRNA from 1 species